rnacentral:rRNA from 1 species
GAUGAACGCUGGCGGCGUGCCUAAUACAUGCAAGUCGAGCGAAGCGGGGACGGGGGAGUAACCCGUUGAUAAACUCAUAUAAGCCUUGGAUAACUUAGGGAAACCGGAGCUAAACCGGGUACUUAUAGAUGGAUCCGCGCUGCAUUGGCUAGUUGGGAAGGUAACGGCUUACCAAGGCAACGAUGCAUAGCCGACCUGAUAGGGGGAUCGGCCACACUGGAACUGAGACACGGUCCAGACUCCUACGGUAGGCAGCAGUAGGGAAUCUUCCGCAAUGGGCGAAAGCCUGACGGAGCAACGCCGCGUGAGUGAUGAAGGUCUUCGGAUCGUAAAACGCUGUGAUUAGGGAAGCGGUACCUACUCAGAAAGCCACGGCUAACUACGUGCCAGCAGCCGCGGUAAUUC